rnacentral:lncRNA from 1 species
AGGCCGUUCCAUGAUUCUAUGAUUCUAUGAUUUACUUCGGGAAGGAGGAUGUUGCUAUGCGCUAUACGCAGAAGUCUGUUGAGUUCUAGCUGCUGUAAAACUCCGUCUUUUUUAAAAAUUUUUUUAAACAGCUCAUCCCAUCAGAAGAUAGGUAUUUUCAAAGAACUCACAUUGAUUCAAAAUCAAUUCCAAAUGGGAGAAAAAUGAAGAUUUAAGUGCCUCUAUGAAGUUUCAGCACUAUGUGAAAAGAGUCUCAGCUUUUGAAGUUAAAACUUUCAGAAAAUAUGAAGAUGAAAACAAAUAUUCUCCAAUACUAAUAGGACAGAACAAGAUUAAUUUUCAAUUUCCUACAUGUCCUACAGAAAAAUCAUGGCCUUGGUAUUACUCACUACAGACUGUGUGUUUUCAGAGGAUUUUCAUUAUACAAGUAGGUCACUGGUAACCUCAAAGUGUGUGUGCCGAUAUAAUGUUGUUGUGUGAAUGCAGAACGGAAUUGCUUUUAAAGAUAUGCAGUUUUGCUGAAGGGUUUUGGAGAAAAUUAUGAAAUUAUAUUAUACUACUUUACUGUGUGGUACACUGUCUUCAUACUCCAUCUCCAUUAGUGAAAAAAGCAAAUGGCCAGCACGGUAAUAUCUGUAUCAGCUAAAACUAAUGUUUUGUUCAUUAAACUAAUUUUCAACUUCACUUGCUUAUUUUCAUCAAGG